GAUGAACGCUGGCGGCGUGCCUAAUACAUGCAAGUCGAGCGAACAGACGAGGAGCUUGCUCCUCUGACGUUAGCGGCGGACGGGUGAGUAACACGUGGAUAACCUACCUAUAAGACUGGGAUAACUUCGGGAAACCGGAGCUAAUACCGGAUAAUAUAUUGAACCGCAUGGUUCAAUAGUGAAAGACGGUUUUGCUGUCACUUAUAGAUGGAUCCGCGCCGCAUUAGCUAGUUGGUAAGGUAACGGCUUACCAAGGCAACGAAGCGUAGCCGACCUGAGAGGGUGAUCGGCCACACUGGAACUGAGACACGGUCCAGACUCCUACGGGAGGCAGCAGUAGGGAAUCUUCCGCAAUGGGCGAAAGCUUGACGGAGCAACGCCGCGUGAGUGAUGAAGGUCUUCGGAUCGUAAAACUCUGUUAUUAGGGAAGAACAAAUGUGUAAGUAACUAUGCACGUCUUGACGGUACCUAAUCAGAAAGCCACGGCUAACUACGUG
rnacentral:rRNA from 1 species